rnacentral:rRNA from 1 species
CCUACGGGGGGCAGCAGUGGGGAAUAUUGCACAAUGGGGGAAACCCUGAUGCAGCGACGCCGCGUGAGUGAAGAAGGAAUUCGUUAUGUAAAGCUCUAUCAGCAGGGAAGAACGGUCACUGUGCUAAUCAGCAGUGAAUUGACGGUACCUGCAAAGGAAGCACCGGCUAACUCCGGGCCAGCAGCCGCGUUAAUACGGAGGGGGCGAGCGUUAAUCGGAAUUACGGGGCGAAAAGCGCUCGUAGGCGGGAUGUCAAGUCAAGGGUGAAAUCCCCGCGCUCAACGUGGGAACUGCCUUUGAAACGGGCAAACUGGAGUGUGUGAGAGGAGAGUGGAAUUCUAGGUGUAGGAGUGAACUCCGUAGAUAUCUGGAGGAACAUCAGUGGCGAAGGCGACUAGCUGGAACAUAACUGACGCUGAGGAGCGAAAGCGUGGGUAGCAAACAGGAUUAGAUACCCGAGUAGUC